GAUAAACGCUGGCGGCGUGCUUAGCACAUGCAAGUCGAACGAAGUUUUUCCUUCGGGAGCAACUUAGUGGCGGACGGGUGCGUAGCGCGUGGGUAACCUGCCCUGUACAGGGGGACAACAGCUGGAAACGGCUGCUAAUACCGCAUAAGCCCUUAGUACUGCAUGGUGCAUAGGGAAAAGGAGCAAUCCGGUACAGGAUGGACCCGCGUCUGAUUAGCCAGUUGGCAGGGUAACGGCCUACCAAAGCGACGAUCAGUAGCCGAUCUGAGAGGAUGUACGGCCACAUUGGGACUGAGACACGGCACGGACUCCUACGGGAUGCAGCAGUGGGGAAUAUUGCACAAUGGAGGAAACUCUGAUGCAGCGACGCCGCGUGAGUGAAGAAGUAUUUCGGUAUGUAAAGCGCUAUCAGCAGGGAAGAAAAUGACGGUACCUGACUAAGAAGCACCGGCUAAAUACGUG
rnacentral:rRNA from 1 species